UUUCCAUGCCCGUUUCUUUGAGCCAGUUUUUCACAAAAUUGAGGCCGUUUCCCUCGAAAUCUGAGAAAACUGUAUUUGCCGCCAAUGCGAAGUAUUUUCUGUGCAUGCAGGAAGCACGCGAAAACGGGCAAAAUUUUAAGACUUCCGGUUCAAAUUCCCCACCCCGUUAUCAAAUGCCCCACCACAUGGAAGACCUAGAACGUCAAAUUACCUACUUCCUAGAGAAGACUUGAAGUCAAAUUCCCGGGGUAUGCCCGGGGGGGGGGGAUGGUGCAGUUUCGAAUUGAUUGAUACAUUAAUAGAUACUAUGUGUUGUGUAAUGUAUUUAAUUCAACCCUACUAGGACUCUGGGCAGAAUACCUACCAAGCCACUCAAACAUGCUUUUGGGACCUCUAUUAUUACAAUGAUGGGCCAAACAGAAUUGGUGUGUCAGAAUUAAUAUCCUAUUUCUGUCUCUUAUAGGUUAUGGCACUUUCUUAUGAAAAUUCAAUGUAAAGUUUGGACAUUAGGACGUCAGUUUCAGGCUCCUUGCACGCCAUCACAGCCAGUUUAGACGUCAGCUUCAGCCCCCUACGCACGUGUUAAUUAAGACGUGUAGUGGCGUCAGCAUUAGCCAAACGUCACCACUUCGGCUUAUAUUUGACUUCACUUUUCCAUCGCACCCUACAUUGUCCCCAUUUUCUCCGCAGGCCUGCAGGCGGAGUGAACGCCUGAGUAGGCG
rnacentral:lncRNA from 1 species